UUUUGUGGAGUUGGCUGCACAUGUUUUUUGCUGGCAACACAUCAUGCUACAUGCAGCAUCUGGAAACGAAGGCCAAACACCAUGGGGGGCUCUACUUUGGCUCUUCAAGGACCCACAUAAAGUGUUCGAAGAUUGAGCAUCGCUCAAGGCAGGCGUUUUCUGUGACCUAAUAAAGAUACAAC